AGGGUGGGAGUUCAUAGAGCCCACCUUCCAAAUUUCCAACAAUAACAACCACCCAUAUGAAUAUCCAAGCUUAAAGGUGUUAAACAACCUCUAUAAACCAAGUUUAGAGUGUUGGAUCAUUACCUACUUUGGUUUGAUGUUCAAGCAGAAUUUUGGCCCCCCUUUACUCCAGCAAAACCGUGAUUUUCAGCUCCCCUUUGCAGCUCAAAUGAUCCUUAAGUGUUAAGCCACGUGUGGUUUAAGUUGGGUGUGAAUUGGAUGAAGAUUUGUGUAAGAUUUGGAGAUGGAAUUUGCAAAACU
rnacentral:lncRNA from 1 species